AGCGGCGCUCGGAGCGCAAGCUAGCCCAGCACAACGUGGUGCGCUGCGAGUGCCGUCGAGGCUGAGCCUUCUGCUGGCCCGGCCCGCCGGGCCGCGGCUGCUUAACUCCCCUCGGCCGGCCCUCCGCGGAGCCAGGCACAGAAAAUGGGUAAUAACUGAAGAUGACCUCCCAGCAGGAAAGUGAAAUCAGAUUGGCAAUGCAUCAGUGAGUGGCGUGAUUGAAGAGAAGACAAAAAGUAGGCUACAGCAAAAGGUAUCACUUCAACUCUCUCCCAAUGCUCCUAUUUUUAGCAGCUUCAAGAUAUAAACAUCAUGUGCUUGUACCCAAACAUCUCUGAAGCGCACAGAGCUACACCGACGCCGUCUAAGCCAUGAUGUGAACAAAGGAUAAGACACUGAUUAUUUCUACAGAUCUGGCACAACAAAGCACUGUUAAUACUCAUUUUUUGAUUCAACUUUGCUUGUCUAAUAGCUUCAAUAAAACAAAUGUCACCAUAAU